rnacentral:rRNA from 1 species
CGUGUAGGCGGUGUGGUAAGUUGGGCGUGAAAUCCCCGGGCUUAACCCGGGGGGGCCGUUCAAGACUGCCAUGCUAGGGUGCGGGAGAGGGCAGUGGAAUUCCUGGUGUAGCGGUGAAAUGCGUAGAUAUCGGGAGGAACACCUGCGGCGAAGGCGGCUGCCUGGACCGUAACCGACGCUGAGGCGCGAAAGCUAGGGGAGCAAACAGGAUUAGAUACCCUGGUAGUCCUAGCCCUAAACGUUGAACACUGGGUGUAGCCCUUCACGGGGCUGUGCCGAAGCUAACGCAUUAAGUGUUCCGCCUGGGGAGUACGGUCGCAAGGCUGAA